GCCCCAGUAACGGCGAGUGAAGCGGCAACAGCUCAAAUUUGAAAUCUGGUCCCCAGGGCCCGAGUUGUAAUUUGCAGAGGAUGCUUUUGGUGAGGUGCCUUCCGAGUUCCCUGGAACGGGACGCCAUAGAGGGUGAGAGCCCCGUCUGGUUGGAUACCGAGCCUCUGUAAAGCUCCUUCGACGAGUCGAGUAGUUUGGGAAUGCUGCUCUAAAUGGGAGGUAUAUGUCUUCUAAAGCUAAAUAUUGGCCAGAGACCGAUAGCGCACAAGUAGAGUGAUCGAAAGAUGAAAAGCACUUUGAAAAGAGGGUUAAAUAGUACGUGAAAUUGUUGAAAGGGAAGCACUUAUGACCAGACUUGGCCCCGGUGAAUCAUCCAGCGGUUCCCGCUGGUGCACUUUGCCGGGGUUCAGGCCAGCAUCAGUUCGCUCCGGGGGAUAAAGGCUUUGGGAAUGUGGCUCCCUCGGGAGUGUUAUAGCCCAUUGCGUAAUACCUUGUGGCGGGCUGAGGUUCGCGCUUUAUGCAAGGAUGCUGGCAUAAUGGUCAUCAGUGACCCGUCUUGAAACACGGACCAAGGAGUCGUCUUCGUAUGCGAGUGUUCGGGUGUUAAACCCCUACGCGUAAUGAAAGUGAACGCAGGUGAGAGCCCUCCAGGGCGCAUCAUCGACCGAUCCUGAUGUUCUCGGAUGGAUUUGAGUAAGAGCAUACGGGGCCGGACCCGAAAGAAGGUGAACUAUGCCUGUAUAGGGUGAAGCCAGAGGAAACUCUGGUGGAGGCUCGCAGCGGUUCUGACGUGCAAAUCGAUCGUCAAAUAUGGGCAUGGGGGCGAAAGACUAAUCGA
rnacentral:rRNA from 1 species